CUGAGCUCGGAGCAUGGAACCGCUGGUGUUUGGCUCCUAUCUGUAGGUCCCGCGUAAUAUGCCCAACUCCAACCUUAACUGGCCUACUGGGACCCCUUUCUGAUGGUUUCCGUGGGUCCACUGUCUAGAUAUGGUACGAGUGGGAUGUGCAGAUACUGUUGGCCAAUUUUACCUAUGAGGCGGAUGAUUACAGUUAAUGGCAGUUCCAGUUUUCUUGCCAUUCAAACAAGAGAUUCUUCAGAGGCUGUUACUAAACAGGGGUAGUGGGAGUACUGGCGAUUGAACCCAGGAAUGCUUUACCACUCAGUUACAUUUAAGGCUGGCCUCAAAACUUGCAAAACUCCUGCAUUAGUCUCCCAAAUCACUAGGAUUACAGGUAUGUGCCAUUGUGCUCAGCUCUUACUAUCUUUCACAUUAGUAAACCUUUCCCUGACCACCUCUUCCACUUAAAAUAAGACUCAUUGCCAUCCUCCAUUAAUUAACUAAUUUACUUUUCUCCCAAAGUUCUUAACUCUCCAACAGGACAUAUAUUUAUUUGCUGUUUAACUCUCUUAAACAAUUAUAAACUGCAUAAAGACAGAGCUUUAUCUGUUUUGCUCACAAUUUAAACCAAGUAAAAACUGAAUAAACAUUUA